rfam:Gasterosteus aculeatus cont1.001628, whole genome shotgun sequence.
GUCUUUGGUUAUCUAGCUGUAUGAGUUUUAAAUGCCUGUCAUAAAGCUAGAUAACCGAAAGU